AUACGGAGGGAGCAAGCGUUAUUCGGAAUCACUGGGCGUAAAGGACGCGUAGGCGGGUUUGUAAGUCAGGUGUGAAAUCCUACAGCUCAACUGUAGAACUGCACUUGAAACUACAGACCUAGAGUAUGGACGGGGCAGAUGGAAUUAGUGGUGUAGGGGUAAAAUCCGUAGAUAUCACUAGGAAUACCGAAAGCGAAGGCGAUCUGCUGGGACAUUACUGACGCUGAGGCGUGAAAGCGUGGGGAGCAAACAGGAUUAGAUACCCUAGUAGUCC
rnacentral:rRNA from 1 species